GACGAACGCUGGCGGCGUGCUUAACACAUGCAAGUCGAACGGAAAGGCCCCUUUGGGGGUCCUCGAGUGGCGAACGGGUGAGUAACACGUGAGUAACCUGCCCUUGACUUCGGGAUAACUUCAGGAAACUGGGGCUAAUACCGGAUAGGAAUCCUUGCUGCAUGGUGGGGGUUGGAAAGCUUCGGCGGUUUUGGAUGGACUCGCGGCUUAUCAGCUUGUUGGUGGGGUAGUGGCUUACCAAGGCUUUGACGGGUAGCCGGCCUGAGAGGGCGACCGGCCACAUUGGGACUGAGAUACGGCCCAGACUCCUACGGGAGGCAGCAGUGGGGAAUAUUGCACAAUGGGCGGAAGCCUGAUGCAGCAACGCCGCGUGCGGGAUGACGGCCUUCGAGUUGUAAACCGCUUUCAGCAGGGGCGAAGCUUGUGGUGACGGUACCUGCAGAAGAAGCACCGGCUAACUACGUG
rnacentral:rRNA from 1 species